UGAAACGUCCAUAGGCUAAUGAAACACGGAAAAGCUCUGACAAUUAGCUGCUGUUUGCAAAGCCUCUCCUGGGCGAGGCUAAGCGUCUUAGGCACCUCUUGGCAACGUUCCUUUGGGUACUUUUAACCUCCGAAGGUGUGGCGCAAAGUCCACCUGUUUUGCUUCCUUAACCUUUGCAAUGGAACUGCCGUUCUUCUUAUCCUACCUUAUGGCUGCAGCUGCUUUGGAGGUGAAGACUAGUCCUUCUCCUGUAGUAGGCCUGGUACACAACCCAGUUGUGCUGCAUUGUAACUUUACAGUUCAGGAGAGCGUCAGAAAAGAAGACGUGGCUCUGAAAUGGGCGGUGAAGACUGUAUCUGGAGAAGAGAGGGCAGUGUUUUUGUUUGAUGGGAACCACACAGCAGGUUACCGGCACGGGCCCUUAGUGAAUGUUGAGUUACUACCCCAUGGCAUUGCAUCACUCACCUUGUCCGAUGUGACAUUAAGGGAUGAAGGGAUUUACACGUGUACUGUGUUGGUAACUCCGCAGUAUGGAAAUGGAAAGAUCCAGCUUAAAGUCAGAGCUCAGCCUGCUGUGCUGCUGUCACCCCAAAGUCUCCUAGCUGCUGCAGAAGGAGAGAAGACAUUUUCUUGCAACGUUCAUGACUUCUACCCCCAAGCAAUUAACAUCUCUUGGCUGGUCAGGAAACAAGGCAGCCUACGCGAAACACCACUGUCCUCAGAUAUAUGCACAGGGGCCCCAUCUUCCCGAGGCCGUGACGGUUUGUUUGCUGUGCUGAGUCGUGUCACCCAAAUGGUGUCGGAGGCUGAUAACGGUUCCUUAUAUAUCUGUGAAGUCCAACACGAGUCCCUGGGAAAGCCGCUACGUAGAAAUACAACUUUGUUGGUCACAAUACCAAGAUCCUAUCAUCGGGACACAGGAUUUAUUGUUGGGGUGGCCACCGCUUGCAUCAUACUGACAGGCUUAUGCAGCAUAUUUUUAACCAUCUUUUAUCAAACGCGGCUUGCAAAAGCAGAGCCCCAGGUCUCCUCGAUCAUCCAGCCUGACCUGAUCCCGAUUAAUGAAAAGAUCAGGCUGAUGUGCAACAUAAAUGGAUUUAGACCCAAAACAAUCCAGGUGAAAUGGUACUGGAGAAACCCACACAGGAUGGUGUUGGCAGCAAACCAUGCAAAGGAAGAUGCAGCCCUUUGUGAAACUGGAGAAGAUGUUACCAGUAUGGCCAAGCAGCCGUUGGAAGCCAAUGGCAGAUUUUACAGCAUCUCCUCCUGCCUGAGCUACACGCCGACGAUAAAGGACGAUAGGGCGGAAUUUGAAUGCAACAUCCAGCACAGCACACUCAAAAAUCCAAUACGGAGGACCACAAUUAUUCAUGUUACUGCUCGACCAGCAAGUCAUUACAUCUUCAGCUCGCCCCAGGUUCCCAUACAGGGGGAUAAGCUUAUUCUGAUCUGUGUUGUGGAGAAAUUUUACCCAAAGGACAUCACUCUGGAUUGGUUUCGAAAUGGACAGCCUGUUGAAGAAGUGACACAGUUUGGGCCUUUCCCUUGUGAAAGUGAUUUUUAUAGUAUAUGGAGCCAGACUGAGUUUAUCCUGACCAGAGAUGACGAAGGAGCAAUUUAUACCUGUCGGAUCAAGCACAGCAGCUUUGGAAAUGUCGAAGAACUCUCCUAUGAAAUAAAUUUGCAAGGAACGCCCCCAGAAGUCCUCUGGAUCACUCCAGACCCUCCGGUUCCUGUUGCAGGAGAGGAGCUGAGGCUAAGCUGCCGAAUCAAUAACUUCUCCCCUAGCGUGAUCAGGGUGAAUUGGUUCCAAGAUGGGAAGCCACUGCAUGUGGGAAUCUGCCACUCAGUCUCCGUAGUUGGCGCCAAUGGCUUGCACUCCAUGUGGAGCCUUCUGAGAGUGACACCUGCACAGGGGGCGGGGAAUACUGUGUUUACGUGCAAGGUGGAACACGACGCGCUGAGCGGAUGUGUGGAAAGAGCGUACACUUUGCAGAUGCCUGGUUGAACCGUUUUCAUGAAAAUGAAGGAAAACUGCACUGAAGCAAACCAAAGGGAGCCUAGCAAAGAAACUAUGAGUGGACCGGAUUUCAAGGCAUGAACAGAAGGAUAAAAGCAGAAAAAGGAAAUAAUAUGCCGUCUGCAACCACUAGAUGUCGCUUUUCACCAUCAACUGUUUGGCCAGAUAUUUCCAGAUAUUUGUGGUUUAGUUUAUUACAUGUGAAAUCUCACACUCUGGUGACUCUCCUCCAAGAAUUCAGGAGUGACUAAGCUUUCUAGUUUAGAUCACCAUUGCCUUUAAUUUUUUUAGUUAUGUGCCACAUUUCUCUUUGCAAGAAGAAAAAAACCAAUCCCACAAGAUAGUUCAUGACCAAGAUAACUAGCAAACAGUCAUUUAGAAAUUAUCAAAAAAUAUUCCCCAGAGAACAUAGGAGAGUGUCCUGUUAGCUCAGUGGUAAUGCCUGUCCAAUAGGGUGUGUUGAUUUUUUCCAAAAACGAGGGUUGCUAAAAAGUUGUAACAUGACUUGGGAAUUUAAAAGAUAUUUUGGUUAAAUUAAUAUAAUUUAGUUUUGAAUGUAGGUCAUUUUUUGUGUAAAAUUGCAUAAAAAUUAUUAAAAAUGAUUGCCAAGUACUUCCAGUUAUAUUAUACAUUUUCGUUGUUGGCAUUUGUCUGGAAGAGUGUUCCAUUGGGGGUCAAACCGUUGAAGUGUUACAGUGCCUAUUGUAACUGUAGAAACCAAUAUGGGAGAGACAAUUUAGUAUAUUUCCUGACAUUUUCAGAAGGCAAAAUCAAAAUUCUUUGGGUUUCUGAAAGCAGCUUAUGUACUUCUUCAUCAAACAUAGACUUACGAAGCUAGAUGUUGUCCAAUCAGAAAAACAAUGGCAGAUUUGAAUUCCACACGCCCCAAAAUGU